AUGUAGCGCAAUGAAUAGCGCGUUGGACAUCUAAGCCAAAGGUCGUGUAUUCGAAUCCCACCUGGAAUG